GACAAACGCUGGCGGCGUGCCUAACACAUGCAAGUCGAACGGGGUAAAGAGCUUCGGUUUUUACUUAGUGGCGAACGGGUGAGUAACGCGUGAGGAACCUGCCUUUCAGUGGGGGACGAACAGUUGGAAACGACUGCUAAUACCGCAUAAUGCAUUUAGGGGGCGAUCCCCUGAAUGCCAAAGCUUUAUGUGCUGAAAGAUGGUCUCGCGUCUGAUUAGCUAGUUGGUGGGGUAACGGCCCACCAAGGCGACGAUCAGUAGCCGGUCUGAGAGGAUGAACGGCCACAUUGGGACUGAGAUACGGCCCAG
rnacentral:rRNA from 1 species